UACGAAGGGUGCAAGCGUUACUCGGAAUUACUGGGCGUAAAGCGUGCGUAGGUGGUGAGUUAAGUCUGAUGUGAAAUCCCCGGGCUCAACCUGGGAAUGGCAUUGGAUACUGGCUCGCUGGAGUGCGGUAGAGGGUGGUGGAAUUCCCGGUGUAGCAGUGAAAUGCGUAGAUAUCUGGAGGAACACCGGUGGCGAAGGCGACAUCCUGGACCGGUAUUGACGCUGAGGCGCGAAAGCCAGGGGAGCAAACGGG
rnacentral:rRNA from 1 species